rnacentral:rRNA from 1 species
GCUAACUGCGGGCCGUCGGCAGCGGUAAUACGUAGGGUGCAAGCGUUGUACGGAUGUAGUGGGCGGUAAGCGAGCGCAGGCGGUUCCUGAAGUCGGAUGUGAAAGUCCUGUGCUCAACCUGGGAAGUGCAGUGGAGACUGGAUCACUAGAGGGUGGUAGAGGGAUGCGGAAUUUCUGGUGUAGCAGUGAAAUGCGUAGAGAUCAGAAGGAACAUCUGUGGCGAAGGCGGCAUCCUGUGCCAACACUGACACUGAGGCACGAAAGCGUGGGGAGCAAACAGGAUUAGAUACCCUUGUAGUC